GGGGACCCGCACAAGUAGCGGAGCAUGUGGGUUAAUUCGAAGCAACGCGAAGAACCUUACCUAAGCUGGACAUCCCAAUGACAUCUCCUUAAUCGGGGAGUUCCCUUCGGGGACAUUGGUGACAGGUGGUGCAUGGUUGUCGUCAGCUCGUGUCGUGGGAUGUUGGGUUAAGUCCCGCAACGAGCGCAACCCUUGUCUUUAGUUGCCAUCAUUAAGUUGGGCACUCUAGAGAGACUGCCAGGGAUAACCUGGAGGAAGGUGGGGAUGACGUCAAAUCAUCAUGCC
rnacentral:rRNA from 1 species